rnacentral:lncRNA from 1 species
UAAAAUGGUUUUUGAUAUUCAAAAAAUACAAAAAUAUUUUUCUAACCUCUUUGAAUGAUGAUAGAUCUAUGAAAAAUAUUCUCAUCAAUUUAUUAAUUGAUUUGAGAUUUAUUUGAGAUUUUAAUUCAAUUAGGUAAUACAAAAAUAUUUUUCUAACCUCUUUGAAUGAUGAUAGAUCUAUGAAAAAUAUUCUCAUCAAUUUAUUAAUUGAUUUGAGAUUUAUUUGAGAUUUUAAUUCAAUUAGGUUAUUUUUAUGCAUUUU